ACCAGCGGUGAUAGCACGUUGAAUGCACCAGUUCUCUACAGAUCACUGAAGUUCAGCAACGUUGCGCGUGGUUAGUACCUGGAUGGGUGAACAUCUGGAGAAUCCGCGUACUGCUGGGU
rnacentral:rRNA from 1 species